CAAGAUUGCACGAAAAAAGUUGUGGACCAGAAUAGACAGGCAAGUUGGUUAAGUUUUCUCCGAUUCUAGAAGGCCCAAAUUAAUACACACAAACAAAAAAACUAAGAAAUAUGAACAAAACUUUUUUGUAUAGACAUUCAAUCAAACUCCAGCAAAAGAUUCCCGCCCAUUUAACUGACAUCUGACGUUGAAGGACUGCAAGCCUUUCAGCGGUGCAAUAAAAUCAAAAACAUAAAUGCAGAUUUCCUAGCCAAGCACCAGCUCUAUGCCGGCAUCCACUUUACCUUCACACACCUCACGGACGUGGAUCUGAAGAUUGAGACGGAGGUGUUGAUGUGUGACAACCUUAAGAUUCGGUUGUACAAGGCGCCACAGAUCGAAGAGCUGAAUCCAGCUGAGGUCAAAGAGGUAUCCACCGUUGGUGAUGCUGCAGAACAUAAAUUGCCUGCUUUUCAAGCAAGCCAAUCUUCCGAGGCAGACUCAGAUGAGUGGAUGAAGAGGAGAAAUCAUGCUUCUAUCAGUGGUGGGGGGUCCACGCAACGGCCACCGCCACCGCCUUUCGAGAGCGCCAUGGUGGAUAUAGAAGGCAUCAACCUUCGGAUAACUGUCAGCGAGAAGCAGGCCGUUGUCACGACCCGGUUGCGUAAGUUUGGAUGCGACGAAAAUGCUCUGGUCGUUCGUGAGGAUAUCACGCUACAGGUGGACUUUAACAAAAAUCUGUCGACCACAUUUCGCAAUUGGGUCGAAAUACUGACCAAGUUCAUCAACUGCUUCUGUCCCAAGUGGAGGACCGUCUACUUCCUAGAAUCUUCCUCAACGGAGUGUAAAAGAAAGGGCUUUGAGCUGGUUAGAUCGAUUCCUCCCCUGGGCAAGUACAACUUCUGUGCUGGCAACUACUUCAUCGAUGUGAAUGAGCUUUGAUUUUGAUUUUUAUGACAGUGAUAUGGUUAAAUUUCCACGUUUUCCACUCUAUAAGACAGGGCCCCAACCAAUUGAAUUUCCUAUGGUUUUAAAUGCCAAGAUCUUUGUAGAGCUACCUACACAGCUGGCCAACUCGGAUCGGAUUCAUCACUUCAUCAAUCCCUUUG